UGGUGUUAUGUGCUCCGGCACAUUGUAUUUAUUUCUGUCUAUUUUUUUUUCACUUGGAUUAUUUUGUAUAGAAGUUAGUUGUAUGAUUUUUGUUGUUUAAUAUACUUUGGAGUUUUGAUAAUUCUUUCUUGUAAUUGGUCCGUUAAUUUGUGACGCCUUUGGACCGCCUAUAAAUAGGCUGGGUUGCGCCAGGUAAAGGACGCCCUCCCAACCAACACCGAGGAUGCGUUCUGACGCGGGGCGCACGUCUCCAGCCUGCCACACGGUAGUUUUUGUUAGCUGUUUGUUUGGUUGAUGUUUUUUUUGUUGUGAUUUUUGACCUGGUGGGACCGGUUGUCCUGUUUUCGAUUUUUCUUUAACAGUAGUUUCUUUUUUCUUGUAGUCCGGUACUAGCAGGGGCUUCGACGGCCCUGUAUAGGGUUGGCCCCCUGCUGUACCGUUUUGUUCUUUUUGAUCGGCUCAUCAGGUCCAACUUUCUGUUUAUACUUUGGGAUUUUUGUGUUCUUUCUUUUUUGGGACACGGGGAACCGAGGAUUUAAUUCUCUUUUUUCUUCACAGAAAAAUCAAAAGAAGCUCAUCUUAAAGAAAAGGUCGAGAGAAUUGAAAAUAAAAAUUACUUUUGAAUCCUCAUUUUUGUCUUCGUGUCCUCAAAUAUGUUGUGCCCUUUGUGGACGUAACAGCUUGUUGCAACUGGGU